rnacentral:rRNA from 1 species
CCUACGGGCGGCAGCAGUAGGGAAUAUUGCUCAAUGGGGGAAACCCUGAAGCAGCAACGCCGCGUGGAGGAUGAAGGUUUUCGGAUUGUAAACUCCUUUUGUUAGAGAAGAUAAUGACGGUAUCUAACGAAUAAGAACCGGCUAACUCCGUGCCAGCAGCCGCGGUAAUACGGAGGGUGCAAGCGUUACUCGGAAUCACUGGGCGUAAAGAGCGCGUAGGCGGGAUAGCAAGUCAGAUGUGAAAUCCUAUGGCUUAACCAUAGAACUGCAUUUGAAACUGUUAUUCUAGAGUAUGGGAGAGGUAGGUGGAAUUCUUGGUGUAGGGGUAAAAUGCGUAGAGAUCAAGAGGAAUACUCAUUGCGAAGGCGACCUGCUAGAGCAUAACUGACGCUGAUGCGCGAAAGCGUGGGGAGCAAACAGGAUUAGAUACCCGGGUAGUC